AUGGAAACCAGCAUCUCACACAUGCUAGGCGAGUGCUCUAGCCUAGCACUGAGCCACAACCCCAGCCCAUGAUUACUUAUCUUUUAUGUAUAAGACAACAUCCUACUAGGAAUUAAACUAGAGACUUUGCCCCUAAUGAAGAAAAAGUAGGCCCAAAUAUCCAUCAUAUGGAAUUAGGCCCAACUUCCUUAAUAAGACUUCUAUAGCACAAGAAUUAAAAUCAAGAAUCAAUAAAUGGGAUGGAUUCAAACUAAAAAGCUUCUGCUCAGCAAAAGAAACAAUCAGUGGGUGAAUAGAGUGCCUACCGAAUGGGAGCAAAUCUUUACAACAAGCACAUCAGAUAGAGCACAAUUUCUAGGAUAUAUAAAGCACUCAAAAACCUUAACACCAAACAAACAAAUAACACAAUCAAUAAAUGGGCCAAGGAACUGAACAGACACCUCUCAGAAGAUGAUAUAAUCAACAAACAUAUGAAAAAAUGUCAACAUCUCUAGCAAUUAGAGAAAUUAUUACUCUAAGAUUUCAUCUCACUCCAGUCAGAAUGGCAGCUAUCAGGAAUACAAACAACAAUAGAAGUGUUGGCGAGGAUGUGGAGAAAAAGGCACACUCAUACACUGCUGGUGGGACUGCAAAUUGGUGCAGCCAAUAUGGAAAGCAGUAUGGAGAUUUCUUGGAAAAUUGGGAAUGAAACCACCAUUUGACCCAGCUAUCGCUCUCCUCAGCCUAUACCCAAAGGACUUAAAAACAAAACACUACAGGGACACAGGCACAUCAAUAUUUAUAGCAGCACAAUUCAAAAUAGCUAAACUGUGGAACCAACCUAGAUGC
rnacentral:lncRNA from 1 species